AUGACUGGUUUUACUGAUUCCUCCCUCUUGAAGAACUGUAAUGCCGUUAAUUUGGUGUUGCAGGGAAUCAGGACUGUUACUUUGAAAAAAUUAGAGUGUUUAAAGCAGGCUUUAUCUUGAAUACAUUAGCAUGGAAUAAUGAAAUAGGACGUUUGAUCCUAUUUUGUUGGUUUCUAGGAUUGACGUAAUGAUUAAUAGGGAUAGUUGGGGGCAUUAGUAUUCAAUUGUCAAGGUGAAAUUCUUGGAAUUAUUGACGACUAACUACUGCGAAAGCAUUUGCCAAGGAUGUUUUCAUUAAUCUUUAACGAAAGUUAGGGGAUCGAACACGAUCAAAUACCGUCGUAGUCUUAACCAUAAACUAUGCCGACUAGGGAUCGGAUGAUGUUAAUUUUUUAAUGACUCA
rnacentral:rRNA from 1 species